rnacentral:rRNA from 1 species
CCUACGGGAGGCAGCAGUGAGGAAUAUUGGACAAUGGGCGAGAGCCGGAACCAGCCAAGUCGCGGGAAGGAUGAAGGAUCUAUGGGUUGUAAACUUCUUUUAUAGGGGAAUAAAGUGAGGUACGUGUUCCUUUUUGUAUGUACCAUAUGAAUAAGCAUCGGCUAACUCCGUGCCAGCAGCCGCGGUAAUACGGAGGAUGCGAGCGUUAUCCGGAUUUAUUGGGUUUAAAGGGUGCGUAGGUGGUUAGUUAAGUCAGCUGUGAAAGUUUGUGGCUCAACCAUAAAAUUGCCGUUGAAACUGGUUGGCUUGAGUAUAUUUGAGGUAGGCGGAAUGCGUGGUGUAGCGGUGAAAUGCAUAGAUAUCACGCAGAACUCCGAUUGCGAAGGCAGCUUACUAGACUGUAACUGACACUGAGGCACGAAAGCGUGGGGAUCAAACAGGAUUAGAUACCCUUGUAGUC